GAAGAGCUGGAACUGCUGUAGCCUUCUUAUGAUAUGAGGCCUGGUAAUAAAGCAUAGCCAAGAGAAGGGGAGAGAAAGAAACUGGGUACCAGAUCAAGUCAUGCCCACCAUACCCCAUCUGUGCUGGUUUAGAUAUUUAAGCACACUCUAUGUGCAGAGUUGCAGCAAUGCAGCAGUAGCCAAAGAGACAAGCGCUUGCUCUGCUGGAGCCCUCAUUCCAGUGAGGAAGACAGACACCUCACAAGAGAACAAAGGAACCCGACAAUGUCUGACAGCAAUAUGUGCGAUGAGAACAACAAAACUGGAUAGAUCUGCUUGGAGUGGGGGAGAGAGGUGCCUGGCGUGAUCAACAUGGACUUCACUAAGGAGAAGACCUUUGAGUGGAGACCCUGAUGCAAAACGAUGAGGAGGCGCCACCAGGGGACACAGGUUCGAGCCCUGGUCCGGGCAGGUCCCACAUGCCACGGAGCAACUAAGACCGUGCGCCACAACUAUGCACCUCGAGGGCCCGCGCACCUCGAGCCCAUGCUCCGCAUCAAGAGAAGCCACCACAAUGAGAAGCCCGUGCACCGCAACUAGAGAAAGCCUGCAUGCAGCAACGAAGACCCAACGCAGCCAAAAAUAAAUAAAUUAAUUAAUUUAAAAGAAAGAAAGAAAGAAAACGAUGCGUUCAAAAUGGAACUUGUAGGGGAAGGAGAGUAGAACCAACAGGACUGGCAGGUGGAUGGGAUUGGGCAGGUAGAGAACCAAGUAGACAGAUAACAACUAGCUUGAGCUCAGAGGUGGAUAGUGAUGUCAUUUACUUAGAUGGGGAGGAGGUGAUUGUUUGGGGGGCAAGGGGAGUGGGGAUUGAGGGAUUGAUGUUCUGGAUGUGUAUUAGGUAUCCGAGUGACCGUGUUAGUAGAGCAGUUGGAUAUACAAAUUCCCAGCUCAGUGGAGAACACAAGGAUGGAGAUAUAAAUGUGAGUCAUGGGCGCGUGGCCCUGAUAGAGGCAUAGCUGUGGGCUCAUGGUCUCACCAGAAGGGAAGGAGCAAUUCUUCCCCAGAGUGAGUGAAGGAGGGGAAGUCCCUUGACACCUAGUGUGUCACUCAGGGCCUUUUGAUUAUGAGCCACAGAAAUCAACCCUGGCUACUGAGCAUCUCAGAGACUGAGAUUCAAGAAGGAAAUAAUCCAGACAGGGCUGAAUCUCAACAGCAGAAAUUCAAGGACCAUCUUGGGAUGUCUUGGUUCCAGCUGCCUUCUGUCCCUUUAAGACACCUUGGCAAAUGGAGAGUCCCAGGAAUAAGGUCUGAAGGACCCAUAUCUUGGCUGUGGGAUGGAGGUGGGGUACACCUGGUUUCUCUAGUACCUCAUGGGAUAUGGAAUGCAGGAGGCGAUUUCUCAGAGAAAACCUGCAUGCUGUCUUCAGUGAAGGGAGGAAGGAAGCUGGGAAGGCAAGAGCAGCGGCCGUCUUCUCCACCUGGCCUGCCUGGAAACUCCUGCACAUCUUUCAAGAGAUAGGUCAGAGGUCAAAUUCUCUCCGAAGAUUUCCUUGACCUUCACAAAUGAGUUUAUAUGCUCCUCCUCUGUGCUCCCACUCUCUGAAUGGUAAGCACCUGUGGGCCUAUCCAUCUACCCCCCCCAACCCCCCACCCCAUAGACUGUAAGCACACCAAGGUCAGAAACGCACUCCUAUUCAUCAGUGAAACCCCAGCAGCUCACACAGGGCCUGGCAUAUCAUCAGAACUCAGUUUAAAAAAUUGCUGCACUGAAUGUGGCACCAUCAGCUGAAGGCAAUUGGGAUCGCAGCCCCGAGAUUUCUUUUAAUGUAUCAUUCUGUAUUCAUUUUAAAGUCCAGGGCGAGCUGAGCGACAAAUUGCAGAGAUCUCUCCCAAAUGUCUUUCAAGUCACACAGCCAAAUCAGUUCGGCAAAUUAUAUGUCAUCAACGAGGAAAUCAAUAAGUACUGGAAGUGCAUUAAACAGUUUAGCAGAUUCAUUAUGUAUUUAGCACAUUCAGUCCAAUUUGCAGGCAGUUCAGAGAGAAACAGGCUUUAGCAUGUAAACAGUGGCUCUAAUUGAGUCUUUGGAGAGUCCUGGCUGCACAGCCUUUGGAGGUCAGAGCAGACCAGGAAUCUCAGAGCCUUCCCACCCUGUCUAGCCCUGCCAGCCCAGGCCAGUCCCAUGAGUCAGGGGUUUCCCCUCCAAAGGUGGUGACAGGGAUCUCACAAGCCCUUUCUUCUUGGAAAUUUUA